rnacentral:lncRNA from 1 species
GACUUCACGCCCUUACUUAUGGAUCACACCCUGCUCACUGCCAGAGGGCAUUCAGGCAGCAUCAAGGAGAACCCCAAUGGAAAUGGCAGGAGCACUGUUCCAGAAACUUCCAGAAACAGCACAGGAGUUUUCUUAUGGAAAAGCUGAACCUCAUCUGAUGGAUUCUUGGGAAAGAAGGAGGGCCAGACACAGACAGACAGGGAUGUGAAGUCACAGACCUCGGUCCAAAUCCCAGCUCUGCCGCUUCUCAGCCGGGUGACCCUGGGCAAGGCGCUUUACCUCCCUUGGCCUCCACCCCCUUUUCCAUACAGCAGCCAUAAAAACAGUACUACACAAUGGAGCAGUUGCAACUAGCACGUGAGAUCAUGCAAGGAGCAUGCCUGGCACAACGCCUGCAGAGAUGGCACUCGUACAUGGGAGACGGUUUCACUACUGGAAAAGUGGGAAAGUCCCAGGUCUGUCCUAAAAACCUCCUUGGGAAUCCUGGGCUCUGGAUCCACUCACAGCGACACCACAGGACAGACGACUACAAGGUAGAAUGAGGCCUAGGGAGGCUGGCAGUGGUUCUAUGAGAGCUGGUGGGUCUCCCUCCUGGACAAGACCACUGCACUCAGGCCCAGAGCCUCUGCCUUCCCUUCAGAGAGAGAUUUGUUCCUGGGGCCACAGCAUCACUGCCUGGACCUCUCCCUCACAGGAUGAGGGGGACAAAGUCCGCUUCUGGAGGGACAGAAUCUCAACACAGCAGCAAGAAAGGCAGCAGGUGGUGUUCUGAAGGUCUGGGACCUACUGCAACCCAGGCUUCCUGACCCAGCCCUCUGACCAGCCUUUCCCUCUCUGAGGGGAGGGAAUGACAUGUAGAACCACCCAGAGGAAUGAAAGUGCCUUCACCAGGAGCCUUCUCACGCUGUCACUCAGGCUAACCAGAGUCCCCGGCAGGGCCUGAGGAAGCCAUGCUGGAUUCCACUUGCUCCAGCAAGCCAGGCCUUAGGGGGCUAGGAAGCCAGGAGGGAGCAAAUCUGCUGGAAUCUGCUUCUGCCCAAAGUCAGGGAUUCCCCGUCUGCACCAACAGCAUCAGCAUCAGAGACCACCCCGAGGAAAACUUCACCUGCUUAGAAAGCAAAACUAAAGAAACGCUGAGUACCCACUCUACGCCAGGAACUGCACUUGUCUCAUCUAAUCCCCACAACUACUCUACAAGAAUGCCUGAGCUUGCUCCACUCGGUUCCACAGAGAACAGCUAGGAGAAUAGGUCCCAUGGCAUCGCUGUCUGGGUUCAAGUCCUGCCUGCGUCUCUUACGAGUUUAACCACUGUGAGCCUCGGCGUGCUUCUCUGUAACAGUACCUACGUCACAGAUGUUGCGAGGAUGCAACACGAAAACCCAGGUAAAUCACUUAGUACAGGCCUGACACCCAGGAAGUGCUCGGCAAAUGACUGUUGUCACCCCCACCCCUCUGUCUCCUCGACAGGCUCCCCAAACAAUCCCCUCCCCCAAGAAACCUCUCUCCAGCUCUUGCAGAGAUGCUGGGAAGCGGAUAUCCACACGUCCCUGAGGAACCCAUUUUAGUACUGAGCACACAUCACCACAAUCUGAUUUUAGGCAUCACUGUGUACACAUAUGACCCUUUAAUUCUAUUUCAAUUCAAUUAUGCAAAUCUAAUCACACAUUCAGCAUCAAACCAUUUUUCUUUCCUCUGAAAAUCUGUCCACCAGUGGCCAACUAAAUCUACUACUACCGAUUCGGGGCUCAGAGGAAGCAGAGUCCUGGCAUCUCACGUUUGAGAGCUGGAAAAUGCAUCCCUCCUCAGCCCGAGCACAGAGCCAGGCCAGCGGCACGUGCUGAACAAAUGUGCUGAAAACCCAGGAGCCCCAGAGUGUCGGGGCAGAAGGCAGGACCGAGAACAUUCCACCGGAACCUUCCUGCUAUGCUCCACGGGGCCCAAGAGGCCAGGAGGAGCCCCGGGGCCUCUGCGGGUGAGGAAGCAAGCAGGGUCAGUGGAAAUAGGCAGGAACAAGGACCCCAUUCUCCACCUAUCCCUCAACGCAGCUCACCAGUUGCCUUUUCCAUAUACUGGAGUUCCACAGAAAUCCUAUUUUGAAAGACAGGGUGUCACUGCUUUUAUACUAAAAGAAAAAAAAAAAGAAGAAGAAGAGGUAGUUAAUUAACCCUGCCCUAGAAUCUUGUUCUAGAAGUGGGGAAACUGAGUUCCAGGGAGGGAAAGGAGUUAGGCAAAAUCUUAGAG